UUGGUGUAAACUUCCUCAUAUGUUUUAACCACAUUUUGUGUUCUCACAGACAGGGAGCAUCUAUCUCAGCAUUCCAUUUCUCACCAAAACUGUAAAAUGGCAGAUAAAAACUAUGCAUUUUACAUACAUGGUGCCGAGGAGCAAAUGUGUUCUGGAUAUCUUUACAAAUCUCCCCCAGAGAAUCAGUUCAAGACCCAGAAAUCUUGGAAACGGAGGUUUUUUGUUCUUCUAAAGUACAAUAACAACACAUGCCAGCUUAAGUACUACAAAAAUGAUGAGAUGAACAAACCACUGGGAGACAUCGACUUGUAUAAGAUCACAUUCAUGUUCUUAAACCCUGAGAUGCAUAAAAUGUGGGACUGGAUUCAUAACAAUUUCAGAUGUUCUGCCUCAUGCGUAAUGUUUAUUAAACUACCAGAUAGAGAAUACUUCCUUAUCGGAGAAAACAGUUGGGAGAUGGAAAAAUGGUUCACUGCUUUAUAUGACAUCUUAAAUAAUCGUCCACACAGACUGUUGGAUCCCAAGACAUUUGGGUCAAAGAGACACAUCACAGAACUUCCACAACCAGAAAACGAUGAGCAGAAAGCUGAGUGGGGUCAUUCAAAAUGUGUUACACACGAACUGCCAUCACCCUUGAUCCACGAGCCCAUCUAUGUUUCUCCUACAACAUUCAAAAGUAAUCAGUAAUGACAGAUGAAUUGUCACAAUGAGUACAGAAAAAUACUCAGGCUUCACCCUAAACUCCAGCUUCUUUACCUGUUGUUACCUACCGAGUGCUAAUUGUCAUAGUCUGAAAACAAGACUGAUUUUAAGAUAUAUUUGUUGUUGUAUAAGUAAUAUGUUGAAUUAAUUUCCAAAUAAAUGUAAAGUUAAACAGGAUUCUUUUAUAUGCUAAAUGAUCUUUUCUUCCAAUGUUUAAUUGUUGCACUAACCCAAAGCAAAAUGACUGUUUUUACAAUAGCUUUGCAUUGGGCACCUCAAAUGAAAUUGAUAAUGAGAUGAACUGGACAAGUUGCAUUAAUUUACUAAAAAUAAAUAUAUUUAAAAUAAAUAUGAUUAAAGCGAAUGACCAAAAGUCAGUAAUUUUAGAACAAGGCAGCUUAUUUUCAAAAGGCCAGAACAAUACAUCAGAUAUAACUUUGCAGCUAUGUACUGUAUAUCCUAUGUAAAUAGGUAGGCUACUAAAUAUAUAUGAAAUAUUACAACAUGUUUCAAGACAAAUGUGUGUUCGCAUAAUCAUUCAACUUGAUGUGAAAAUAAAACAAAAUGUAAAUGAAUGAUCUGUUUUAACAUGUACACAUUUGUCUGAGUGUGCUUUCAAUGUCAAUAUUUUGCCUUUUAAUAAAAGAUUUUUUUUAUUGA